AACKACUCUCKGCAACGGAUAUCUCGGCUCUCGCAUCGAUGAAGAACGUAGCGAAAUGCGAUACUUGGUGUGAAUUGCAGAAUCCCGUGAACCAUCGAGUUUUUGAACGCAAGUUGCGCCCGAAGCYUCUGCUGAGGGCACGUCUGCCUGGGCG
rnacentral:rRNA from 1 species